rnacentral:ncRNA from 1 species
UUCCAUUGCGCAGGCUAAAGGAUUGUAAUUGGAAUGAGUACAAUCUCUAAAUCCCUCAACGAGGAACAAUUGAAGGGCAAGUCUGGUGCCAUGCCAGCAGCCGCGGUAAUUCCAGCUCCAA